CACACGGUAGCUCAGUGGUUAGAGCGCUGGCUUCAGAUGCCAGAGGACCGGGGUUCGAUUCCCCGGCCGGAUGGAGA
rnacentral:tRNA from 1 species